GUUUUAUCCGGGGUUUCCGCUUUUGCGUCUUCGUCAUUUUUCUCUUGCUACCACCAUUUGAGAAGUGCCUUUCGCCUCCUGCCAUGAUUCUGAGGUCCUCCCAAGCUAUGGGGAACUGUAAAUACAAUUAAACCUCUUUUUCUUCCCAGUCUCCGGUAUGUCUUUAUCAGCAGCAUGUAAAGGGACUAAUCCAGAGAGCCCCACCUGGAAGACUCUAGGUUCUCAUCUUCAUGCCCCGAUGUAAGGAGAGUGGUCCUUCUGUACAUCAGGAGUCUGAAAUGCAUCUCACUGGGCUAAAAUCAAGAUCUGUGGCACAUGGAACCACAUGUGGGACAAGAGACUAAUAAAGAUGUGACCUACUCACAGAGGCUUCAGGUGUUUUGCGAAGUACAUUGGCUUUUAUUCAACGUGCAGUGGGACUCCAACUAAAGUGUUUCAGGAAGGCACGGCCCUUUUGUGAUCUCCUGGUUCUUGUAAAUCUCACUGUGGCUGAUGAGGUCUGGAUAGAUAAUCAUGAUGGUGGCUGAAGAGAGACAAUGGUGGUGCUAGGUUACCAGUGGCGUGGAGCUCAGAGCUAAUGCAGAGCAGCUGGAGCAGUGCUGAGUUUCAAAACGUGUUGGAAAAAAUAUUAUAUGAAUGAUGCUAUUUUUUUCACUGAAUCACAUCAAGAAGCACAUGAUGUUAAGCUGUCUCAUCAUUGGUGGUGUUAACUUGGAUCGCUUGAUUAAGCCCGAGAACUACUCACUCUGGGUCUCCUCUCCACUGAGGGCUGCACACAUGCCGGGAUGACCUGCCUGUGGAAAGGAGCUACAACUUCAGGUCUCCUGAGAGCUGUAGGUAGGUUAGUUUUGCAUCGUUGAUUUAAGCAAUUUUCUAUGUAUGGGCGUUUACAUGGUAUCCAAUAAUUUGUUAUAUAACACAUAAUAUCCCAAUGCAUGAAGGCACAAAUAUGUAUUUUCUUGCUGUUGGUGGUGUAUGUUGGGGGUGAAUUCCUAAAGUGAUAUUGUUUGGUCAAAAGUUAAAUGUAUAUGUAGUUUUGGGUUACUAUUGGUAACUUUCCUUCCAUAGGAUUUGUACCAUUUUGCUUUCCCAUUAGCAAUGUGUAGGAAUGCCUGUUUCCCUGUAGCCUCCCCAACAGCUUGUGUUAUCAAGAUUUUGGAUAUUUAACAAACUUGAAGGUUCUCCAGUCAGCAGACACUGAAAUGCCUACAUGACUAAGAGAUUUUUGUGGGGGUAAUAAGGGUGCCUGUUGAAAGCAAAGGGGAGAAAGCAGAAUUGGGCAGGAAAAGCCUUCAGACUUCCAGGUAUAUCUAUGAAAGUCUAGGCCAACCCAGUGGGGAGAUUUGAAGCUGGGAUUUACCAUUUGAGAGACCCUGUGUUGGGCAGAAAUAGUUAAGGUGCCGUAAAUGGAAG
rnacentral:lncRNA from 1 species